rnacentral:rRNA from 1 species
GAUGAACGCUAGCUACAGGCUUAACACAUGCAAGUCGAGGGGAAACGACAUCGAAAGCUUGCUUUUGAUGGGCGUCGACCGGCGCACGGGUGAGUAACGCGUAUCCAACCUGCCCACCACUUGGGGAUAACCUUGCGAAAGUAAGACUAAUACCCAAUGACGUCUCUAGAAGACAUCUGAAAGGGAUUAAAGAUUUAUCGGUGAUGGAUGGGGAUGCGUCUGAUUAGCUUGUUGGCGGGGUAACGGCCCACCAAGGCGACGAUCAGUAGCCGGUCUGAGAGGAUGAACGGCCACAUUGGGACUGAGAUACGGCCCAGACUCCUACGGGAGGCAGCAGUGGGGAAUAUUGGGCAAUGGGGGGAAACCCUGACCCAGCAACGCCGCGUGGAGGAAGAAGGCCCUAUGGGUUGUAAACUGCUUUUAUAAGGGAAUAAAAGUGAGUCUCGUGAGACUUUUUGCAUGUACCUUAUGAAUAAGGACCGGCUAAUUCCGUG